rnacentral:lncRNA from 1 species
UUGAUUUGAUCACAUGCCUGUGUCUAGUGAAGUUCAUGAGCCCAUCUUAACUUUCCGAGCUGGGACGGCCCCAUAGAGUACAACCCGUGUGGUGUAGACCUGAGUUCUGCUCCAGUGAUUCUAUCUCUGCUCUCUCCUGCAUCUUCAGGACCAACCACAGCAAAGGCGCUACAUAAUGAAAAGGGUAUUUUCAUUGUGGGGAAUAUGAAUGAGCUGACGUGGAACAGGAAGAUGUCCAGUGCUUAUAUGUAUGUGCUCCUUUGUGUGUCUUUCAUCUGUGUGUCUCUGUUGUGUAUAUAUUUUGCAUCUGUGUGUGUAUGUCUCUGUGCGUGUCUUUAUGUGUGUGUCUACGUAUGUCAGUGUGUGUCUCUAUCCAUGUGUCUGUGUAUGUCUGUGAACGUGUGUGUGUGUGUGUGUGUGUGUGUGUGUCAGUGUGAAAUGUAUCUGCUAGCUCCACUAGGAAGCCUCACAAUCAUCCAGGUGAGACAUGAUUACAGGGCAGCCAAAUGACCAAUCAUUUCUCAGCUGAAUGGUAAUUGGACAUUCCAGACUCCAGGGUCUUGGUAUCCUCCACCACAGCUUCCUCUGCACUGCUAGCUCACCACGGGAGAGUGACUUAAGCUGCUUAUGGGUAAUCCAGCUCUCAGCCCUCACCCACCGUAGCUGCCAGCCCCUCAGCGGGCAGACUUGGGUUUCUGCGUGAGGACACUGAUGUCUUCUUCCUUACCCUUUACAUCUUGGGGAGUUGACAGCCUCUGCCCAGAGCUGAAACCACACCAUUAGGCCCCAGCACAUCAACUCUCAUCCUUCUCCCACAAGUCUGGGGCUGGCGACAUCCUCACCAAAUUGGCUUCCCUAGUUCCCUGGCCCAAAUUGAUUAAUCAUCAGGCAGUUUCAGCUAUCAGCCCUGCUGCAAUUGGCAUAUUUAUUUCUAAUCAGCUCUUAAAAAUGGCAUCAUUCAGAGGUGCUUAACCACAUUACUUAAUUCUCAGCCUGUAUUGCUAUUGAUUUCAAAUAUUCUCCUUCAGAUAUGGCUCAUCACUUAAUGCAGAAGUCUGUUUAUAUAAUAAUCUUAUCUGGUUACUAAAAUCUGUGAAAUCUCUUCAAUUGCCUCUAAUGCAAGAUUGGAGGCUGGUUGCUAAAUGAGUCAAUUUUACUUUAAUUUGGUUUAUUUACAGUACAUGUUUUAAUGCCGCACAUUCCCGUCUUCCGCAGCAAAGCUGAAAAGAAAGGCAAAUAUGGGCGCAGAGAGAGGCAUGCGCUUUUCUCUGUCUGGAGGAAUGGAGGGGGCUGGUUGGCAGAGCUCCCUGAACAACACUAAACUUCUGGCCUCUAGUGACCUGUGCGAGAGGCCUACCAAGACCCUCAGUAUCCACAGUAUUGGUACAGUUCUGUCAAGAGUACCCAAGGGAAGUCACAUGGUCACAGAUCUUCCGUUUUGUACAGAUGAGAGAGUUGCUCACAACGUAGAGUCUUCCUUAUCUGGGAAAUGGGGCCAAGGUAAGAUUUUUCCAGGUGUCUUGGCAAGACACCACCAGGAGACUCCAAGGUUGAUGAGCACACAGCAAAGGCGCUGUGCAGCAUACCUCUGCCACUUCCCCUCCAUUGGCAAGGCCCCCCACAAGCACCAUUCCCCUCUGCCCCCACCCACACUUCUGCUGUGAGGGUGACUGAAGACUCCUGUGAGUUGUCUUUCAAACUGCGGAGGCCCUUUGAGCUGCAAAGGACAGAGGCCAACAGUUCUAAGUUUGCUGAGUUUCCUAAAUUUUAAACUCUAAACUGGAGAGUAAGGCACAGCCUGUCUUGGACAAGCAAAGACAGGUCCCGAGGCAGGAGUUCAGACCUGAGGCUCACAGACUCUCUGCCUUCAAGUAUUCUUACAGCAUCCCUGUUCUUAACCAGAAGUCUCUGUAUCAGUCUCUUGUCCCGGUGUGCCAUCCCUCCCAAAGGCUUGAUUCCUGGUGCUGUUCCCUCUACCUAUGGCUUUCAUAAGUAGCCACUGUGGAGGAUGGGCUCUUGUGUCAUUGAUUAUUGGUGGCCUGAAGACCAUGUCCCUGGGACCAGAUGUCUAUCCCUGGCCCUGUCACCCUUGUCUGUGAUAGAGAGCCCAGCUGUACUUCAAAUGCAAAAGCUGGUAACAGCAGCAUCUGCAGAAGACGAUGGGAGCAGAAGGUCCUGGCUCUGAAUUACCCUUGCUUUCCAGAGACACAAUUGGCAGAGUAACCCAGAUGCCACCUCAUGGUACAGCAAUGGCCAGCUGUGCAGCCUGGGGCAAGCAACUUCCUCUCAGUGCAUCUUGGAUUCCUCCACAUUGGGCACGAAUGCUUCUGAUGGUAUUGGGAUUUGCAGGGAGGAGCCAGGGAUUGGCAAGCAAAGGCCCAGCUCCUCCUUGCCUGUUGCCUGUGACUGACUGUACCACUCAACACCCGAAGGCUCCUGUGUGCAUUUGCCCAAGCAGCUCUUCCAUCCCCUCCAUCCCCUCCAUGGUUCUGCCCCUCUGUGACCCUCUCCUCACCCGAGCCUCAAAGCAGGGGUGGAUGGUUUGAUGUUAACUGGCCUGGAUGAAAUGCUUUCUGCUGGCAAUUGCCUUCAUUGCCUGCUGUAAAAUUACAUCUAUAUUUAAAUAUGCU